GUGAGGCAGCAGGAGAAUGGGGGUGCGUUGCUGGGGUGGCCUAGCAUACCCGGAGUCUUAGAAUCCUCUCAACUCUGUUGUCUCCUAG
rnacentral:miRNA from 1 species